AGCACUUCACUGCACUUCAGAGACUCAUCCAUUCUCAGAUUAUUGGUUCCCCAUUUUAAGAAACAUUGUUCCCGUUGUGCUGAUGACAAUGCUGCUGCUGCUGCUAGGAGUACUGCACUGUGGGAAACUGAGAGGGUCCAGAAGCAGAUGUGUCACGUGCUGUGACUGUACAGAGGCGUGAAGAUUCUCACAAGUCAAAUGAUGACAGUCUGCAAACCACAGCUUUCUUUUCAUUUAUGUCUAUAUUCAAUAAUCCACUUUGACACUAGCUCUGACACCCUCUGCAGAGUCACCACAGCAUCUACACCUCCAUGAACAGACUCUGUGGUUGACUGUGGACACACAUAUAAAUGUGUCCUUCAAUAAUCUUUAUUAAAAUGGUCCUCAGAGCAUCAA